rnacentral:rRNA from 1 species
AGCGACUCUCGGCAACGGAUAUCUCGGCUCUCGCAUCGAUGAAGAACGUAGCGAAAUGCGAUACUUGGUGUGAAUUGCAGGAUCCCACGAACCACCGAGUUUUUCUGAGCGUC